GGAGUGUAGCUCAGUGGUAGAGCAUAUGCUUAGCAAGCAUGAGGCCCUGGGUUCAAUCCCCAGCACCCA